rnacentral:rRNA from 1 species
CCUACGGGUGGCAGCAGUGGGGGAUAUUGCACAAUGGGCGCAAGCCUGAUGCAGCGACGCCGCGUGAGCGAAGAAGUAAUUCGGUAUGUAAAGCUCUAUCAGCAGGGAAGAAAAUGACGGUACCUGACUAAGAAGCUCCGGCUAAAUACGUGCCAGCAGCCGCGGUAAUACGUAUGGAGCAAGCGUUAUCCGGAUUUACUGGGUGUAAAGGGAGCGUAGGCGGCGAUGUAAGUCUGGAGUGAAAGUCUGCGGCUGAACCCCAGACGUGCAUUGGAAACUGCUUGGCUUGAGUGCCGGAGAGGUAAUCGGAAUUCCUUGUGUAGCGGUGAAAUGCGUAGAUAUACGGAGGAACACCAGUGGCGAAGGCGGAUUGCUGGACAGUAACUGACGCUGAGGCGCGAAAGCGUGGGGAGCAAACAGGAUUAGAUACCCUUGUAGUC